GGUGAACGCUGGCGGCGUGCCUAAUACAUGCAAGUCGAGCGAACGGACGAGAAGCUUGCUUCUCUGAUGUUAGCGGCGGACGGGUGAGUAACACGUGGAUAACCUACCUAUAAGACUGGGAUAACUUCGGGAAACCGGAGCUAAUACCGGAUGAUAUUUUGAACCGCAUGGUUCAAAAGUGAAAGGCGGUCUUGCUGUCACUUAUAGAUGGAUCCGCGCUGCAUUAGCUAGUUGGUAAGGUAACGGCUUACCAAGGCAACGAUGCAUAGCCGACCUGAGAGGGUGAUCGGCCACACUGGAACUGAGACACGGUCCAGACUCCUACGGGAGGCAGCAGUAGGGAAUCUUCCGCAAUGGGCGAAAGCCUGACGGAGCAACGCCGCGUGAGUGAUGAAGGUCUUCGGAUCGUAAAACUCUGUUAUUAGGGAAGAACAUAUGUGUAAGUAACUGUGCACAUCUUGACGGUACCUAAUCAGAAAGCCACGGCUAACUACGUG
rnacentral:rRNA from 1 species